CAGCCGCCACGGGAAUACGUAGGGUGCAAGCGUUAAUCGGAAUUACUGGGCGUAAAGCGUGCGCAGGCGGUUUUGUAAGACAGAGGUGAAAUCCCCGGGCUCAACCUGGGAACUGCCUUUGUGACUGCAAGGCUAGAGUACGGCAGAGGGGGAUGGAAUUCCGCGUGUAGCAGUGAAAUGCGUAGAUAUGCGGAGGAACACCGAUGGCGAAGGCAAUCCCCUGGGCCUGUACUGACGCUCAUGCACGAAAGCGUGGGGAGCAAACAGGAUUAGAUACCCCAGUAGUCCCUGUCUCUUAUAC
rnacentral:rRNA from 1 species